GGAUCAGUGAUGACUUCUAUAUAGCAUGCAAUGAUGCAUUCCUUGGAAAGCUGAACAAAAUGAGUGGGAACUCAGUAAACUAUCGUCUUUGUCAAACUGAGGUCC
rnacentral:snoRNA from 1 species